GACGAACGCUGGCGGCGUGCUUAACACAUGCAAGUCGAACGGAGUGGCGAACGGGUGAGUAACACGUGGGUGAUAUGCCUUGCACUUCGGGAUAAGCUUGGGAAACUGGGUCUAAUACCGGAUCGCGCAAGAUGAGUUCGCGGCCUAUCAGUUUGUUGGUGGGGUAAUGGCCUACCAAGGCGUCGACGGGUAGCCGGCCUGAGAGGGUGUACGGCCACAAUGGGACUGCGGGACGGCCCAGAGUCCUACGGGAGGCAGCAGUGGAAAAUAUUGCACAAUGGGCGGAAGACUGAUGCGGCGACGCCGGGUGGGGGAAGAAGGCCUUCGGAGUGUAAACUCCUUUCGACAGGGACGCGGUACCUGUAUAAGAAGCACCGGCUAACUACGGGCCAGCAGCCGCGGUAAUUC
rnacentral:rRNA from 1 species